rnacentral:rRNA from 1 species
CCUACGGGGUGCAGCAGUGGGGAAUAUUGGACAAUGGGCGAAAGCCUGAUCCAGCCAUGCCGCGUGUGUGAAGAAGGCUUUCGGGUUGUAAAGCACUUUCAGUGGGGAAGAAAGCCUUGGGGCUAAUACCCUCGAGGAAGGACAUCACCCACAGAAGAAGCACCGGCUAACUCCGUGCCAGCAGCCGCGGUAAUACGGAGGGUGCGAGCGUUAAUCGGAAUUACUGGGCGUAAAGCGCGCGUAGGCGGUCUGAUAAGCCGGUUGUGAAAGCCCCGGGCUCAACCUGGGAACGGCAUCCGGAACUGUCAGGCUAGAGUGCAGGAGAGGAAGGUAGAAUUCCCGGUGUAGCGGUGAAAUGCGUAGAGAUCGGGAGGAAUACCAGUGGCGAAGGCGGCCUUCUGGACUGACACUGACGCUGAGGUGCGAAAGCGUGGGUAGCAAACAGGAUUAGAUACCCGAGUAGUC